rnacentral:tRNA from 1 species
GCCGGGGUGUUGGAACUGGCAGACAAUGCAGACUUAAAAUCUGCUGUUCCGGAAGGGACGUGCGGGUUCAAGUCCCGCCCCCGGCA